UACAGAGGUCUCGAGCGUUGUUCGGAUUCAUUGGGCGUAAAGGGUGCGUAGGUGGCGCUGUAAGUCGGGUGUGAAAUCCUGAGGCUUAACCUCGGAACUGCAUUCGAUACUGCGGCGCUUGAGGACUGGAGAGGAGACUGGAAUUCAUGGUGUAGCAGUGAAAUGCGUAGAGAUCAUGAGGAAGACCGGUGGCGAAGGCGGCAUCCUGGACCGACAUUGACGCUGAGGAGCGAAAGCCAGGGGAGCAAACGGG
rnacentral:rRNA from 1 species